GUGCGCUGGGCGGGACUGGUUCCUCAACGGACGUUGAUAAAGUUGACAGCCGGCCCAUUUCCGGUUGAUGUCGGCCCUACACCGCCGGGCUAGACAGAUCGUCCAUCUCUGCAAAGGUAAAAGCCAGUCAGUCCUUUCCAAUACCAGAAGUUACUCGCUCUUGGUUUCCGGCCCAGUACCCUCUUGCUGGACCCGGACUGCGUGUAUGAUGCCACCUGCCACCGCGCCUGUUGUAUGCAUGCACCGCGAUCCCGGAAGGAGAGCCCACAGAAACCGGACGCACCUAGCGGGAUCGCGGCACGGGGCGCUGUUGAUCCUCAGAUGUGAGUAUCACGUGUCAUAAUGACAACAUCGACUGGAUCGCCCCAAGUCUGCACAUGCGCAGUGACAACAUCGACCGGAUCGCCCCGAGUCUGCACAUGCGCAGUGACACACCACCCAGUAUUCCGAACGCCGCAGUUUUCAGUUUCCGGAACAACGCAAACGUGCCCCACUCGAAGACUCAACUCAACGUUCCGGUGCGAAGUAUCCAGUUCGAUCCCCUCGAUAUCCGGUCAUCGCGACCAGGUGUCGAAUCCCGCUGGGUCGUCGAAUUUCGUACUACAGCGGAUGUGUCAAAAGCUACACAGUCGGGACUUCUGGUGGACACGUACCGGCUGGUGUUUUACCAGCACGAUGACGUCACUAGCUGCGAAACCGCGGCCUAUAGAAACUAAAUGGAGGUUGUUAACGCACAGGCCGUGAUAGCGGCGUCUGCUGAUAAUGCAGUGUGCGAGAAACUUAAACUAUGUGACUAUGUCGUUAUGUUAAUUAAGGUUCUUUGGGAUAUGUACACUAGCAUGUACCAACAGUGACUCGAUUAGUACACAUUCAAGUGGAAUACUUACAUAAACGCCAUUUAAAUUCAAACAUCCACAUUCAUUUAUGACAAAAAUACGCUUCCCUUUUGUUGUCGAAGUUUUUGUUUGUUUUGAAUACUUAGAAUUAGAAUACAUGUAUUGGUAAUACUAACUUUUAACAUAUUGAAUCAUUUCCCACUUCAAACACAAAGUUAAAUCAUGUAUACAUUAAACAUAUUUAGAACAAAUAUUUAUCAGCUUUGUUGUCAAGCCAUUUUAGUUUAAAGCCCUCCCCGUCAGACAAAUUGUGUGGAUAAAUUUGUGGACGGACCUACGAACUGACAGACAGACAUGAUGAUGGACAGAGGGUUAGCCUACGGUCACCUAUAUCAGAACACAUCUCUGAACACACAGUCGUGUGUUGUUUUUUUUUAUCCAUACAAACAAAACAAUUUAUUUGAUUUUGUAACAUUAUAUACAAUAAACAAAUAUGACAUGACACACAUACAAUAUUUAUACUAUAAAAACAGCAUGUUCAAUAUAUCUGAAACAAGAUUUUGGUACCAAAAAU